GGCAGCAGCCGCGGGAACACCGGCAGCUCUAGUGGUAACAAUUUUAUUGGGCCUAAAGCGUCCGUAGCCGGUUUAAUAAGUCUCUGGUGAAAUCCUGUAGCUUAACUGUGGGAAUUGCUGGAGAUACUAUUAGACUUGAGACCGGGAGAGGUUAGAGGUACUCCCAGGGUAGAGGUGAAAUUCUGUAAUCCUGGGAGGACCGCUUGUUGCGAAGGCGUCUAACUGGAACGGUUCUGACGGUGAGGGACGAAAGUUAGGGGCGCGAACCGGAUUAGAUACCCGGGUAGUCCUAACUGUAAACGAUGCGGACUUGGUGUUGGGGUGGCUUUGAGCUGCUCCAGUGCCGAAGGGAAGCUGUUAAGUCCGCCGCCUGGGAAGUACGGUCGCAAGACUGAAACUUAAGGAAUUGGCGGGGGAGCACCACAACGCGUGGAGCCUGCCGGUUUAAUUGGAUUCAACGCCGGACAUCUCACCAGAGGCGACAGCUGUAUGAUAGCCAGGUUGAUGACUUUGCUUGACUAGCUGAGGAGUGGUGCAUGG
rnacentral:rRNA from 1 species